rnacentral:rRNA from 1 species
UACGGGGGGGGGCAAGCGUUGUUCGGAAUUACUGGGCGUAAAGGGUUUGUAGGUGGCUUGUUAAGUCAGACGUGAAAUCCCUCAGCUUAACUGGGGAACUGCGUCUGAGACUGGUGAGCUUGAGUGCAGGAGAGGAACGCGGAAUUCCAGGUGUAGCGGUGAAAUGCGUAGAUAUCUGGAGACACCGGUGGCGAAGGCGGCGUUCUGGACUGCAACUGACACUGAUGAACGAAAGCCAGGGGAGCAAACGGG